UGGGAUUUGAACUUUGGACCUUCGGAAGAGCAGUCGGGUGCUCUUACCCACUGAGCCAUCUUACCAGCCCAACUAGUGACUUUCUUAAUGUGGCUUUUUAAGUGCAGUUAGUCAUCAUCUUAUUCAAAUUAAGGUUUUCAAACUACAGCAAGAAAAGAAAGAUUAAAAAAAGAUGCAGAUGCAUUUUCAAAGUGCUUGGAGUUUGGGUUUUCCCUGGCUAGAGAUAAGUUGAAAACUAGGCAGUGAUCCUUCUUAGAGGUGGACAGCGGUCUUAGAGUAUGUUCUGUUGCUGGCCCAGACUGCCAGGGUCAUAGCAUAUGCUGUGUUGCCGGCCCAGACUGCCCAGAAGGUGGGGUGAGUGUAGUAAUUACAUACAUUUUUCAUUCAACAAUGUUUCUAACUUUUGGCAGAUUAUCAGGAUAUAAUUCCAUCAUAGUUGAGUACCAUCUUUGCCAGAUACAAAAUAUUACUAAAACUGUAUUUUGAAAUAAUUACAUGCACAAAAUAUGCAAGUGAAUAGUUCAUUUUGAGCAGUUCCUCCAGUUAUCUUCCCCAAAGAAGCUCUGCUCGCUUGACAUUCCCAAAUAUACCUGAUUCACAAGCGAUGCCACAGAGCUGGUGGCACUGCAUUAGGCUUCUGUUCUUUUGUGUUUCCAGACAGCUAGAAUGCCAUGGCAUAAAAUCUAUUAAAUUACUGAUAAAACUAUAAAUGAAAAGUUUGUGGGAUUUGAGAUGAGUUCAGGGCCUAGCAUGUGUUAAGCCUUGGUCAGCAAUUCUCAACCUCUGAGCCAUGACCCCUUUGGCAAACUUCAAACUCCAAAAACUAUUUGAAUUACAAUUCAUAACAGUAGCACAAUUAUGAAAUAUCAACAAAAUUAGCUUUAUGGUUAGGGGGUCAGCACAACAUGAGGAACUAUAGUAAAUGGUCGCAACGUUAGGAAGGAUGAGAACCACUGCCUUGGAUUCAUUCCCUGGCACGGCAAAAAAGAAAUUAAAAAACAAUAUGAAUGUUAAUCUCAUUUUGCAUGUAUCUACCACCAAGCCUCUACCAGCAUUAUUAGGGGGAAAAAUAACCUGAACUGAAGGUCAUUUUUCUGGUUUUCACAAAUGAAUCUACCUGUUAGGAAAUUUUAUUAUAAGUUAACAUAAAUUAAGGUCAUUCCUGUCGCUUUGUUUUCAUGCAGGAAACUUUGGCCACAGUGAUAAUUACUCCUUUCAGAAUGAUAAUUAACUGACAUUUAAUGUAGUGAUUUUUGUUUCUCAUUUCAUUUUUUUAAAAUAACACAGCUCUGAUUUUUUUUUUUUCCUUUCACAGAAGUGGUAUAAAUAACACUUUUCUCAUUAAUCUCUGCCCCGGAUUUUAAAUGAUGGCACUUAACGAGGCUUGGAGACUGUGCUCAGUGUUUUUGUUUAAAGGUUGUCAAGUAUGGUUUCUUUUUCUUUCUUUCUUUCUUUCUUUCUUUCUUUCUUUCUUUCUUUCUUUCUUUCUUUCUUUCUUUCUUUCUUUUUAACAAAUGCUCAGGUCAGCAGGCUACACCAUCUUCUUGGCAGUUUUCCUUUUAGCCUUGAGUUUUUCCUCUAGGUUUUAAUUUUUGCCAGUAUAUUUACUAAUUCUUUGAAAAUAUCAUACAGUGCAUUUUGGUCAUCUUCCCAAUCUCCUCCCCUUAACUCCUUGUUUUCCUUUUAUGACCUCAGGAUAAAGCAACACAAAAUGGUGAUCUUCAUUUAAUAACUAUACCUAAAACUUGGGAGUAGCAAAUAUUAAAGCAAGAAUCUGCCUUCAAAGCAACUUCCUAUGAUUUUUGUCUUAUUUAAAAGUCAAAGUGACUUGAAAGACUGUAUGCUUCGUUAUUUACCCAUGGAUGUUGCCAAAUGAGAUCUAAGGAAGCCAGGCUGGAUGGAAGACAUGAGGCUUUACAUUCCUGGAGAUUUGGAUUUUGUUAUUUGGAGCAUCUUCAUCCACUAGACAGAAAGGUAUGCUCAGUUGCUUUGGCAUUCAGAGUCACUGGAAGAAUUUUACAACUUCAUGCAAAGAGUCUAGUUAUUAAUAGCCACUCAGGCAAUCAUAAUUAUUGAUUCCAAAAAAAAACCCCUAAUCUUCAUUAAAAGCAUAUUAACUAUUCUGGUGAAGUGUUAAUAUGACCCACAUCAUUUCAUACUCUACAAAGGCUGGAGACAUUUUGCAUUCAUUAUGCUGAUUAUGAAAAACUCAAAAAUAUUCUGUAGUAAGUAUGAGAAGAAAACCAUUUUUUAAAAAAAUCUACCAAAAAAUAAAAUAAAAUUAAAUUAAAUUAAAAAAAAAAGGCCUGGUCACAAAGCACUAAAAAACACCUGUGUAUUAAAGGCUGCAGAGUUAAAUAUUUAAUGUAACAUUUUUCUUGGCCUCGUCCUGAGUCGGAAGUAGCGUAAAACAUUCAGGGUAGGGUGCAACAGCCUUCUUUGAUGCUUAAGCAACCCUGAGGCCUCAGGUCAGAGCUCUGAAGUCCCUUAAACAAAGAUAACCAUCAGACCCGACACAGGGACCCCCGUGACCUAUCCCAGAAAAAAAAAAAAUGUUCUGUUUGUUUUGUUUUGUAACUAAACAAAUUCCUUGAACCUUUUGUUUUCAUUUUUCUAAAUCCUUCAAAAAAAAAAAAAAGAAAAGACUUGGGGGCGGGGGAGGCACAUUGAAAGACACAACAGGUUCAGGGGUCAAAACAUGUAAUGUUGCUGCUCUGGGUCCAGUUGUGUGCUCUUUAGGAUCCCAGCUGAAGCUGAGACGCCCAUGGCAGGCGCUCAUUAUUGUCUCCUGAGGCACUGAAAGCUUCCAACGCGACUGUGUCAUCUUAGCUAUUUAGAUGCCGACCACUCCAGCAUGAAGACUACCCGCCGGAUGCAUUUAUAAAUGAUUUCCCAUGAGACUGGAUCCCCUGGAUACCCAGAGGCAAUUCGACUGUAGUCAGUUCUCAGCUCCUAAAAUUAAGAAGUUAGACAAACCUAUACCUUGAACUCAAAUUGCAAGGGACAGUGACAUGAUGGGAAGAAAAGACACAAUUGAAGUUGCUGGUUAUUGAGAUACCUAGAAGUCAACUUGGGGAACUUAUCAUACCUAAUAAUAAUAAUAAAAGAGCAACUUCUAUGCAUCACUGCAUUCUCAGUUGUACUGAGGUAUUUUCCUUUGUGCAACAGGAAAGAAAACAUACAAGCAACUUAAAAGAUUAUCUGAAGAACCUCACUCUGAAGUUGCUUCUUCACACCCUCCUGGAAGAAUGGGAAAUGAAAAGAGAAUGCCCAUCAGUGUCUAAAUCAGAAAGCUGGCAGGGUGACUGUCAGUUUUAAUGAACAUCGCCCUCUUCUAACUAGUAGCAAAAAUUCUAGUCAUGUGACCUAUUGACAAGAAAUUGAAUUCCAUAGUGAUUUCGAAUAGUCUUCUUUUUAGCUUAGGAAUGAAGAAAAUGGCUCUCUUCGAAGAGUGGGAAUUCCUGAUUUUGUUGGAGAUUCAGUUGUGUCAUGCGGUGCUUUUCUGGAAACUGCCCUGUGAGAAGCUCGUUUCCUGAAGCAGACUCGUGACAGGAUGUUUGCUGAGAACAGACGCGUGGUAUUUUCCUGGAAGUUGCCUAGUGAAGUGACAUGUGAUGUUUUGCUGGAGCUGAUGCUUGAGAGGCAAUGUGAUGUUUGGAAAGAGGAUGAGUCUAACCCAACAGACUGUGGACAGUGUUCUUGUAUUGCUUCUCUUUGGAACUCUGCGGGUCAUUGUUGGGCUUCACUGGUGCUGGUCUCCCGCUGAUGAAAUUCUUGCAUUGGUUCGCCUUGCUUUUUUAGCUGAUCUUCACUUGUCAUGACUUCGUAGAGAGACAUGCACCAAAGAACUUCUGGUGGUAUUCCAGCUGCUUCUUGCUGCUUCCACAGACUGGUUCCAAUCGGCAGAUCCCUGCUGCUUCUUCUGGAUAAAGCCACUGCUACUGAGUCGUGUUUGGUGUUUUGCUAGUGGACUGAACUGCUGACAACGAUGAUUGGAAUCACCCCAAAGAACAAUUUCUAAACAGGUUUCUGUGGUCGUAAAGCACAGUGAGCAAAAGCAGCCUGAAGAUGGAAGGUUUUAUAUGGCACGUGCUUCCACAACAUAGUCCACUACAGAAGGAAGUCAGUGCAGGAACGCAAGGCAGGAACUGAAGCACAGGCUACGGAGAAAGACUGCUAACUGGUGUAUUCCUGCUAGCUUGCUCUGCCUGCUUUCUUAUACCACCCAGGAGCACCUGCCCAGAGGUGGCACUAUCCCCAGUGGGCUGGGCCCUCCCACAUCAAUCAUCAAGUAAGAAAAUGUCCUACAAGCAUCCUAAUGGAGGAAUUCUCUCAGUUGAAGUUUUUCUUCUCAGAUAACUCUAGUUUCUGUCAAGUUGACACAACAGAACCAAAACUUCACAGCCACGCCUCCAGGCUAGCCUGGUCUGUGCGAUUCCUCACCAAGACUCCCUUCUCAGGUGCCUCUAGAUGUGUCAAGUGGAUGGUGAAGCUAACUAGGAUAAGGAAGAACAAAGAUCUACACGAAGACAUCGUGUAAAGAUCAGUAAUAUAAAAAUAAUCGUCAUCUAAAUAGAAAAGUAUGCCCUGACCUUAAGUAGAGUCAUUCAGCAUUAUAAAUCACAAUUUUCUCAGAAUUCAAUGAGUUUUAUGUGAUCCCAAAUAAAUAUGCCAGAGAAAUUUUUUUCACAGAACUAUAUCCAUAAAUCUUAAGUUCAAUAGAAAAGUAAGGAAUAACUAGGCCAGUUAUGAAGAUAGACUAGCUUGCUCACUCUCACUGGUUCAUGUCUAACCAGCUUUCUUAUACAGCCAAGGACCAGUUUGUUAUUGUAAACAGUUUGUUAUUGGAAAUACACUUUUUAUAAAUGGACAUGGUAUAAAAUACAUACAUGUGGAACCUGUAUUUUGUACAUAAUAUCUGAAUUACACAAAACUAGAAAAAUGAUGCUUACAGAGCGAAUGAGCAUGAGGUAAUCUCGUGGCUCGUCUGAAAUAAAUUAAUUUGAAAUCUCCACAUAGUUCUUUCACCAAAAUAAAUUCCAGUUUGAUUAGACAAAAAUAUUUACAGCCAUAAAAAUAUUGAAUGUAUGUAUGUAUGUAUGUAUGUAUACACACACACACACACACACACACACACACACACAUGCUUUUUAAGGGAAGUUUUCACUCUCAAGUCUAAGCUGGCAUAGGACUUAUAUAGCCCAGGCUGGCCUCAAUCUUGUGACAUUCCCCUUGCCGUGCCUUCCCAAGUGCUAAGAUUAAAGGAGUGAGCCCCAGUGCCUAAUUAAAAUGACCAGAUUUUAAUAACAUGGGAAUUUUAAAAGAAACCCUUCCAUUGCUGUUGAAUUUUGCACACUGUGUAGAAAGAGUUUCGUGUUAGUACAAGAUACAGCGUGCAAACGUGUUACAGGUAACAAGCAGAUAAAAUACUUGUGUGUCAGAUAGAAAAGCCAGUCGCUCAAAGGAAAGAUAAACCAAACCAAACCAAACCAAACCAAACCAAACCAAACCAAACCAAACCAAACCAAACCAAACCAAAUAUGAGCCAAUAGUUCCUAGAAAGAGGAGAGACUCUCAGAUGAAGUGUGGCUUAUGAAAAGAUUUCACUUGUAAGUGAAAUAUGAACUAAGAUUACUGUAUACCAUCUACCUCACAAAAACAGCAGUCCAAACUCAGACAGUUUAUUUGGGGACAAAUGCAGAAUGCUCUUACUGCAUAUUACUAUUAUUUGCAGUAAAAUAACCAUUCCAACCUAUCUGGCAGGCUAUUUGGCAUGAUACACCAACUUUAAAAUGAGAAUUUCUAGCAAAUUACUCUAUUAGCGGGGAUUUAUUUUUAUUAAGGUAUCAUAAACAAACAAACAAAAAAAUGAACAAUCACAUUUGGCAUGCCACUUUGGAAACAUGCUGAGUGUCCAAAUGCAGAGCAGAUUUGCAAAGUGUGGUAUUUAAAAAUGUAUUUCUCCUACCCAUUGAGUUUAACAAGAGCCACGUGUGCAGCCACACUCUGAACUUACUCGCUGAAGCUCGGUAGGCUUACAGGUGGGUAGACACCUGAAGGCAGUAACUCCCUGAGUGAGAGAAUUGAUCUCCAGCCAAUAGUUCAUCGGUGAGGAGUGGCCGACCCAUUGGAAGCAACUGUGGCUAGUACUUGACUAUGAUUACAAUCAUUGUAUGUUGCCCAAGUGAUGGUUUCCCCAGCCUCUCUCCCUACCUUCCAGCUCCUACAGCCCUCUCCCCUUUCUCCAUGGUUCCCUGAACCCUAAAAGGAAUUGUAUAAAUUUCGUCUUGUUUAAUGCUGGGCAGUCUGCUAUUACUUCCUGCGUUAGUUUGCUUUGGAUUGCUACAAUAAAACAACAGGGAA